GUAAUUGGAGACUGCACAGCUGUCAUCAUAGCUACCAUUUGUUAAGCACUUAGUAUAUGCCAAGACUAUCCUAGGCACUUUACGUUUAUAAACUCAUUUCAUUCACAACAGCCCUUGUGGCAGCUUCAAUUACUAUCCCGAUUUUGCUGAAGAGGAAACUAUGGCAUAGAAAAGUGGCAGGUUCCAUUCAUAUCCCCAUUUUGAGGAAGAGGAAACUAUGACAUAGAAAAGUUAAAUGACGUGCCCAAGGUUUACAAAGGUGUAAGUGGAAGAUCUUGGAUUAUAAGACUCUUUUGGGAAAUUAGAUUUGAUCCUUAGAGGUCUCCUAGUCUCAUUUCCCAUUGAGGAAGGGAUUCCUUUCUCUGACAAUCCUGGUUCUGUGGACUCUGCAGGAGCAUUGAAGAUGGGAGAUCACUGCUUCAACAGCAAGACAUUCUAGUAUGGGCUAUUGUAAUUGCUAGAAAGUUUUUUUUCCUAUGUUGAGGUGAAAUCUCACAACUUUGAUUCACUAGUCUUUGUAAUAACAGAAAAUAAGCCCAUUGUUCUGACUGUUGAGAUAUGUGAAGGUUUUCAUGUCAUUCACCACCAACCCCAACAUCAGUUGGAGACUUCAAUACCAUACUUUCAAUAAAAGAACAUUUAGACAGCAGAAUAAGGAAACAGAAGUCUCGAACAACACUAUAAGUCAAUGAAACCUGACAGAUUUAUGUAGAACACUUAACCCAACCACACCAGAGUCAACAUUCUUCUCAAGUGUACCUGGAACAUUCUUCAGGAUAGACAUAUGUAAGACCACAAAACAAGUUCCAAUAGCUUCUUCCCCACCUCCAGCUGCUGGCAGGACCUUUCUCUCACUGCUGCUGGGACCCUGUGUCAUCACCCAGGCCGAGCACGAUGCCCCCUAAAAAGGGAGGUGAGGGAAUUAAACCACCCCCAAUCAUUGGAAGAUUUGGAACCUCACUGAAAAUUGGUAUUGUUGGAUUGCCCAAUGUUGGGAAAUCUACUUUCUUCAGUGUAUUAACCAGUAGUCAGGCUUCAGCAGAAAACUUCCCAUUCUGCACUGUUGAUCCUAAUGAGAGCAGAGUACCUGUGCCAGAUGAAAGGUUUGACUUUCUUUGCCAAUACCACAAACCAGUGAGCAAAAUUUCUGCCUUUCUAAAUGUAGUGGUUAUUGCUGGCCUUGUGAAAGGAGCUCACAAUGGGCAGGCCUGGAGAAUGCUUUUUUAUCUCAUAUUCGUGCCUGUGAUGGCAUCUUUCAUCUAACACAUGCUUUUGAAGAUGAUGAUAUCACACAUGUUGAAGGAAGUGUAGAUCCUAUUCGAAAUAUAGAAAUAAUACAUGAAGAGCUUCAGCUUGAAGAUGAGGAAAUCAAGCUUGAAGAUGAGGAAAUCAGCUUGAAGAUGAGGAAGUCAAGCUUGAAGAUGAGGAAAUCAAGCUUGAAGAUGAGGAAAUCAGCUUGAAGAUGAGGAAGUCAAGGCUGCUGGAAAGUACAGACAACAGGGCAGAAAUUAUAUUGUUGAAGAUGGAGAUAUGGUCUUCUUCAAAUUUAACACACCUCAACAACCGAAGAAGAAAUAAAAUUUAGUUAUUGCUCAGAUAAACAUACAACUUCCAAAAGGCAUCUGAUUUUUUUUAAAUUAAAAUUUCUGAAAACCGAUGGAACAAUUAAAGUUGGGAAGAUGGGAAUCUUCAACAAAUUAUUUUUAUUUGUUUUAAAAUUAAAAUACUGUGUACCUCUCCACCAAUGAAAUGCAAAUUCACUAAAUGUGAACAGCUUUGCUUUUCACAUGAUUAAGACCCUACUCCAAAUUGUAGAAGCUUUUCAGGAACCAUAUUACUCUCAUGAUACUUCAUUAAUCUCCAUCAUGUAUGCCAAGCCUGACACAUUUGACAGUGAGGACAAUGCGGCUUACUCCUUUUUGAAUCUACGGAUAAUGCAUGUUUUACAGUACUCCAGAUGUCUACACUCAGUAAAACAUUUGAAAAA